UGGUCCUGUGGAAACGUUUCCUCCUG
rnacentral:piRNA from 1 species